rnacentral:rRNA from 1 species
GACGAACGCUGGCGGCGGGCUUAACACAUGCAAGUCGAACGAGAACCCCGGGUUCGCCUGGGGGAAAGGUAGGCGGCACGGGUGGAGUAACACGUAGGCAACCUGCCCUCCGAGUGGGGAAGUAACACCGGGAAACCGGUGCUAAUACCGCAUAUUGUCUUUGGUAUGCAUGUACUGAAGAUGAAAGCUAUAUGCGCUCGAGGAUGGGCCUGCGGUGGAUUAGGUAGUUGGUAGGGUAACGGCCUACCAAGCCAUCGAUCCAUAGCUGGUCUGAGAGGAUGAUCAGCCACACUGGCACUGAGACACGGGCC